GACGAACGCUGGCGGCGUGCUUAACACAUGCAAGUCGAACGGAGUUAUACUGGAUGAGAGCUUCGGCAGGAUUCCGGAAUAACUUAGUGGCGGACGGGUGAGUAACGCGUGAGCAACCUGUCCCAGACAGGGGGAUAACACUUGGAAACAGGUGCUAAUACCGCAUAAGACCACGGGAUCACAUGGUUCUGGGGUAAAAGGUGCAAACCGGUUUGGGGUGGGCUCGCGUCCGAUUAGCUGGAUGGUGAGGUAACGGCCCACCAUGGCGACGAUCGGUAGCCGGACUGAGAGGUUGAUCGGCCACAUUGGGACUGAGACACGGCCCAG
rnacentral:rRNA from 1 species